rnacentral:rRNA from 1 species
GGUCAAGCUAGAAAGGGCUAACGGUGGAUACCUAGGUACACAGAGGCGAAGAAGGACGUGGCGACCGACGAGACACUCCGGGGAGCUGGAAGCAAGCAUCGAGCCGGAGAUAUCCGAAUGGGACAACCCCAAAGUACGGUCUACUGAAUCCAUAGGUAGAUACGAGCGAACCGGGCAAACUGAAACAUCUUAGUAGCCCGAGGAAAAGAAAGCAAAAGCGAUUCCCCCAGUAGCGGCGAGCGAAAAGGGACCAGCCUAAACCAUCGGUCAAGACCGAUGGGGUAGUGGGACAGCCACCAGGGAGGGGAGAAGUUAGACGAAGCAGCUGAAAACUGCACCAGAGAAGGUGAAAGUCCUGUAGUCGAAAACCGCAAACCAACCGGCUGAAUCCCGAGUAGCACGGAGCCCGUGGAAUUCCGUGUGAAUCAGCGAGGACCACCUCGUAAGGCUAAAUACUCUUGUGUGACCGAUAGCGAAACAGUACCGCGAGGGAAAGGUGAAAAGAACCCCGGCGAGGGGAGUGAAACAGAACAUGAAACCGUUAGCCUACAAGCAGUGGGAGGACGAUUUAAACGUCUGACCGCGUGCCUGUUGAAGAAUGAGCCGGCGACUUACAGGUGGUGGCAGGUUAAGGUGAAUCACACCGAAGCCAAAGCGAAAGCGAGUCUGAAUAAGGGCGAAGGUGUCACGAUUUGUAGACCCGAACCCGGGUGAUCUAACCAUGGCCAGGAUGAAGCGUCCGUAACAGGUCGUGGAGGUCCGAACCGACCAAUGUUGAAAAAUUGGCGGAUGAGCUGUGGUUAGGGGUGAAAUGCCAAUCGAACCCGGAGCUAGCUGGUUCUCCCCGAAAUGCGUUGAGGCGCAGCGGUUGGGUAUCUUGUACGGGGGUAAAGCACUAUUUCGCUGCGGGCUGCGAGAGCGGUACCAAAGUGAGAUAAACUCAGAAUACCGUACGAGCAUCAACCAGUGAGACGGUGGGGGAUAAGCUUCAUCGUCAAGAGGGAAACAGCCCAGACCACCAGCUAAGGUCCCCAAAUGAACGCUAAGUGAUUAAGGAGGUGGGAGUGCAGGGACAACCAGGAGGUUUGCCUAGAAGCAGCAAUCCUUGAAAGAGUGCGUAAUAGCUCACUGGUCAAGCGCUCCUGCGCCGAAAAUGAACGGGGCUAAGCGUUCUACCGAAGCUGUGGACUUACAAUUAGUUGUAAGUGGUAGGGGAGCGUUCUGUGUAGGGAGAAGCACUAGCGGCAAGCAGGUGUGGACGGCACAGAAGUGAGAAUGUCGGCUUAAGUAGCGAAAAUUAGGGUGAGAAUCCCUAACCCCGAAAGCCCAAGGGUUUCUCCGGAAGGCUCGUCCGCGGAGAGUUAGUCGGGACCUAAGGCGAGGCCGAAAGGCGUAGUCGAUGGCAACAGGGUUAAUAAUCCCAGACUAUUACGUGGGAGCUGUUGUAGGGACGCCUGAAAGAUAGCCACACCCUGAUUGGAUUGGGAGUCCUCUACGGAGGACGAGUGGUGAAGGAUAAUGCCAAGAAAAGCUACAGCAGUGAUGAAAGCGUAGUACCCGUACCCGAAACCGACACAGGUGGGCAAGUUGAGAAUACUAAGGGGCGCGAGAUAACUCUCUCUAAGGAACUCGGCAAAAUUACCCCGUAACUUUGGGAGAAGGGGUGCCACCGAGAGGUGGUCGCAGUGAAGAGGCCCAGGCGACUGUUUACCAAAAACACAGGUCUCUGCUAACUCGCAAGAGGAUGUAUAGGGGCUGACGCCUGCCCAGUGCCGGAAGGUUAAGGAAGUCGGUCAGCCCGGAAGGGUGAAGCUGGCGACCGAAGCCCCGGUGAACGGCGGCCGUAACUAUAACGGUCCUAAGGUAGCGAAAUUCCUUGUCGGGUAAGUUCCGACCCGCACGAAAGGCGUAACGAUCUGGGCACUGUCUCGGAGAGAGACUCGGCGAAAUAGGAUUGUCUGUGAAGAUACGGACUACCUGCACCCGGACAGAAAGACCCUAUGAAGCUUUACUGUAGCCUGGAAUUGGGUUCGGGCCUCGUCUGCGCAGGAUAGGUGGGAGGCAGAGAAGUACCCCUCGUGGGGGGUAUGGAGCCAACGGUGAGAUACCACUCUGGCGAGGCUAGAAUUCUAACUUGAACCCGUAAUCCGGGUUAAGGACAAUUUCAGGUGGGCAGUUUGACUGGGGCGGUCGCCUCCUAAAAGAUAACGGAGGCGCGCAAAGGUUCCCUCAGGCUGGUUGGAAAUCAGUCCGAAGAGUGUAAAGGCACAAGGGAGCUUGACUGCGAGAGUGACAACUCAAGCAGGUAGGAAACUAGGCCUUAGUGAUCCGACGGUACCGAGUGGAAGGGCCGUCGCUCAACGGAUAAAAGUUACUCUAGGGAUAACAGGCUGAUCUCCCCCAAGAGUUCACAUCGACGGGGAGGUUUGGCACCUCGAUGUCGGCUCAUCGCAACCUGGGGCUGAAGUAGGUCCCAAGGGUUGGGCUGUUCGCCCAUUAAAGCGGUACGUGAGCUGGGUUCAGAACGUCGUGAGACAGUUCGGUCCAUAUCCGGUGCAGGCGCAAGAGCAUUGAGAGGAGCCUUCCUUAGUACGAGAGGACCGGGAAGGACGCACCGCUGGUGUACCAGUUAUUCCGCCAGGAGUAGACGCUGGGUAGCCAAGUGCGGAGCGGAUAACCGCUGAAAGCAUCUAAGUGGGAAGCCCACCUCAAGAUGAGUGCUCUCAUGGCAAUAAGCCAGUAAGGUCACGGGCAGAACACCCGUUGCUAGGCGCUAGGUGGAAGAGCAGCAAUGUUUGCAGCCGAGGCGUACUAACAGACCGAGGGCUUGACCCA